CCUCACAUCUCUCUCUUGGGCCUCUGCCCUCUCUCCGCCGCGCCUCGCCGGGACGCUCGCCGGACGGAGGCUCCGGCGUCCUCUUCUCCCUCUCUGAACUCUCACUUUCUCUCCAUCCUUUCUCCCCCCUCCCCUCCUUGACUCUAUCCCUCUCGCUCACUCUGCCACCGGAAACAGGGCAGGAGAUGCCCACCUCGCUGCGGCUGCUGCCGCCUCUUCCUCAUCCUCACGGCGGAACGGCCGCCGCCGUUCAACGCCACGGCCGCCCCCUGUUCUCCCUCUCCCUCUAUCUCUAACUCUCAACAUCGUCUCGAUCUCUCUCUCUAACCUCACUGACACACGCCGGCAGACACGGCGUAAGCCGCGCCGCCGCGUCGCCCUCCCUCUCGCCGGCAGCACAGGCCCACGGCCGUUGAGGAGCCGCCGUCGCCGGAGAAAGCCCAGAACAGAACCAAGGCUCCACCGCCUCCCAUCGACCACCGGCAGCCACCGCGGCUGCCGUCCCCUGACCUCGACUCACACACACGCAUCAGAGGUUUCAAGCCAUAAAUCAGUCCACAUAAUAGCAUAGAGAAUGUGCAAUUUCAGUUCACAUGUAACAUAUCUUGUAACUGUAAAUUUAUGAAUUUGCUACUCAUUUCUUCAUUUAUCAAAGCAUAUGUAAAUCAUA